AUGGCCUGGACUCCUCUCCUGCUGGUGCUCCUCUCUCUCUUCACAGGUUCCCUCCCUGAGCCUGUGCUGACUCAGCUGGCCUCCCUCUCUGCGUCUCCGGGAGCAUCAGCCAGACUCACCUGCACCCUGAGCAGUGGCUACACUGUUGGUAGCUACCAAAUGUCCUGUUUCCAGCAGAAGCCAGGGGGCCCUCCCCAGGACCUCCUGAUGUUCAAGUCAGACUCGGAUAAGCCCCAGGGCUCCAGGGUCCCCAGUCACUUCUCUGGAUCCAAGGCUGCCUCGGCCAACACAGAGCUCCUGCUCAUCUCUGGGCUGCAGACUCAGGAUGAGGCUGAUUGUAACUGCUACUGUCACCAAAACACUGGUAUUUACCAGGGGCUUCAGACUGUGCAAGGCUGA